rnacentral:rRNA from 1 species
CCUACGGGAGGCAGCAGUGGGGACUAUUGCGCAAUGGGCGAAAGCCUGACGCAGCGACGCCGCGUGAGGGAUGAAGGUCUUCGGAUCGUAAACCUCUGUCAGCAGGGAAGCACGGUCACUGUGCUAAUCAGCAGUGAAUUGACGGUACCUUCAAAGGAAGCACCGGCUAACUCCGUGCCAGCAGCCGCGGUAAUACGGAGGGUGCGAGCGUUAAUCGGAAUUACUGGGCGUACAGCGCUCGUAGGCGGUAUGUCAAGUCAAGGGUGAAAUCCCCGCGCUCAACGUGGGAACUGCCUUUGAAACUGGCAAACUGGAGUGUGUGAGAGGAUAGUGGAAUGCCAGGUGUAGGAGUGAAAGCCGUAGAUAUCUGGAGGAACAUCAGUGGCGAAGGCGACUAUCUGGCACAUAACUGACGCUGAGGAGCGAAAGCGUGGGUAGCAAACAGGAUUAGAUACCCUGGUAGUC